CCUACGGGAGGCAGCAGUGGGGAAUAUUGGGCAAUGGACGCAAGUCUGACCCAGCAACGCCGCGUGAAGGAAGAAGGCUUUCGGGUUGUAAACUUCUUUUAAGGGGGAAGAGCAGAAGACGGUACCCCUUGAAUAAGCCACGGCUAACUACGUGCCAGCAGCCGCGGUAAUACGUAGGUGGCAAGAGUUGUCCGGAUUUACUGGGUGGAAAGGGCGUGCAGCCGGAGAGACAAGUCAGAGGUGAAAUCCACGGGCUCAACCCGUGAACUGCAUGUGAAACUGUUUCCCUUGAGUGUCGGAGAGGUAAUCGGAAUGCCUUGUGUAGCGGUGAAAUGCGUAGAUAUUAGGAGGAACACCAGUGGCGAAGGCGGCUUACUGGACUGUAACUGACGUUGAGGCUCGAAAGCGUGGGGAGCAAACAGGAUUAGAUACCCGAGUAGUC
rnacentral:rRNA from 1 species